rnacentral:lncRNA from 1 species
CCAUUUCUCUUCUUGCUUUACUCAUACAUGUGAAGCAUCUUAAGUCUAAAAGCAUUCUCUCUUUUUCGUGUUUCUCUUCUUCACAAAAGAAUCCAUCUCCUUCUUUAGUGAUCUAAUCCAUGGAGAUAUCAUUAUCAUCUUCAGAUGCACGAGGUAAGGGUGUCCUUGUUGAUGAGGUCAAUACGGAUGAUCGAAUCAGCAGACUCUCCAGAGAUCUAUUGCUUAAGAUCUUAUCGAGCAUGUCUACUUAAGAAGCUGUUACGACGAGCGUUCUAUCAAACCGAUGGGGGGGGAUGUGUGGAAGGAAUCGUCUGAGAUUUUUAUGGACAUGCAAUAUAUAACGAAAGCCAGAAAUACUGUGAUGGAUGUUAGUAUAUGCAGCUGGAUGGAUGACAAAGGUGCAUUUCUUUGCUCAAAAUUUUCUCUUUACAACUUUUUGGAUAAAAGUAUUUCACAAAUAAACAAAUAGAUCUGGGUAUAAGCUGAUGACCUAGGUUGAUGUUAUAUUACAAAACUCUAAGAUUACCCAUGAAUUAAUAGAUGAUUUCAUUUGUUCAUUGUUGUAGCCUUGUAGGGGAAAAAUAAAAGUAAAUAACCAAUGAAUACGUUUUAUUUUAAAAUUCCCGUGUUUAUGAAAGAAAAAGGUUACCAUCUUAACAGUAUUUGGCGCGAGUAGGCUAUAUUUUCUAAACUUAUACAAAUCUUUGUAUAAGUUUGUGAUCUAUUAUACAUGACAUGCACAUUUUUCGGAUGACAUGUUAUAUAUAUUUUCAGAUCCAAGGCUUUUUUUUUUUCCAUAAACACACUUUUGAUUUCUAAAACACAUUACUUAUACAAAGAAAAUGCUAUUCAUUUCAAUAUGACAAGUUAUUUUUAUAUUUGACAAGUUAUUCCUUAAAAAUACUUAGACAUUUGUUCUAUAUGUUUGCACAUUACAUGUGGUUGACUUGAAGAUGACAUCAUUAAUGUUCUACUCAAAAUAACGUCGUCCUUUUGACGAAAUUAAAGGAGCAUUUAAGUACACCUAGCUAGGGUUAGAAGAGAAAAUAAGGAACCUUGGUUGCGAGAGAGAAAAAGGAAGCAGUUUCAAUAGAAAAAAGAGAGUGAACACUAUUUCUGCAAAAUUCACAAUUAAGAAGCAAGCGAGAUCAAAUCCGAUUCUAAAUCAGGAAUUUCUGUAGUCCGGUAUUACUUUUUGUCGAGAAAAUGAGGUAAAUUAACGUAGUUAAUUAGUCGUUUUACAAAAUCGGAGAAAUUGAGUGGGACAUUAAUUCGAUUCACAUGAAAAAAUUUGUUGAUUUUGAGUAGGAUUAUAAAAUAAAUGGAAUAUAGAGGCUUGUGGAGAUAUUUUAAUUCAAGAUUUACAUUAAUAUUGUUCAAGUAUCAACUGUUGGAUAUUUAAGUGUACGUGAUAUUUAAGUGUACGUACAUCGUCGGUUAUUCACGAAUGUUGGAUAUUUAAGUGUACGUACAUCGAUGGUUAGUGUACGUACAUCGACGGUUAUUCACCAACCAUCGCACCUUUUGGUACAAACGGUUAUUAUAUUAAACGUACGGUUGCAAACGUAUGUGAAGACCGUUGAUCACUAUAAAACUCUGUUUCUCUUGUAUCAAACAGAGAGAGAAGUACAGAGCACGAGAGUUUCACAAAAUCAAAGAUUGAAAGAAUCUUUGGUGAUAAACACAUAAACAAAACACAUAAUCUCUAUUUGUUUCUCUUGUAUCUUAGCCUAGAACAAGAGAGAACUUUGAUUGUCUUAUCCUACAAGGGAUUUUGUGUAACCCAAGGCUUGAUAAGGGUCGAAAUACUCUUUAAGGAAAGUGCUCACGUGCGCGAUUCAAUCAUUAUCCAAGUUCACAUUCGUUACUUCCCGGAGUUACAAAGCCUAUUUCUACAACAAUCUUAAAGAGUAUUUACGGUGAACAAUGGCUAAUGUUUCUGUGCGUGAGAUGACAUCAAAGUUUGGCAAAUUGGAUAAGUUUGAAGUAGUUGAUUUUAGAAGAUGACAAAAGAAGAUGCACUUUCUCCUCACAACGCUAAAUGUGGUGCACGUUCUAAGUGUGCCAAUGCCCACCGUGUCGGAGAAUGCUGAGAACGAGUGUGUGGAGGAGACAAGGAAGCAACUUAAGUGGGUGUAAAGCCGUGGUAAUGUGUCGGAGAUUACGAUCUCCGGACGUGCGGAUGAUCUAAGGGCUAGAAUAUUGCGGGGUGUUUGAUUAGCUCGUUGAUCGGCUUAGUCAUUCAUGAGCAUAUUCAUAUCGUGGAUGCUUUUUAUGGAGUAACGGUUUGGUUGAGACGGGGAUGCGGCUCGGCAAGGAAUUGGCGGAUCCGCAAGGAUCUACCGAUUCUAGGCCGAACUGAUGUGCUUACUUCCAAUCUCUGAUCCGCUUUCCGGACUAAAGGACUAUAAGGACAUAUAGGUUUUAUGUCAUAGAACCUAAUGAUUCUAUAGCGGCUCAUACCGUAAUUGAGUCAAGAGAUGCAAUAUUUGAUGAGAAUCGUUUCUCGAUGAUUUCUAGGCCAAUUCCCUUAAUACAACAUGUAGAUGGAUGAAUCCAUCUCGGUGUCGUGCAUCAUCGACAAGUUGCCGCCUUUGUGGAAAGCUUGGACAUAGGGCCAAGGACUGCCGUCAUAAGAAGGAAGGAACAUCGAUUGGAGAUGCAAGUAAUGCGAACCUUGUCGAAGAUCAGUUUGUUGCGGUCGUUUCCGAAGCAAACAUGAUGACAAACUCCAAUGAUUGUUGGGUUGACACUGGUGCUACAAAGCAUGUGUGUUCUGAUGCGAGUAUGUUCUCAAUGUACGUACAUGGCUCUGGUGGAGAAAAGUUGUACAUGGGAAACGCAAGUACCACAAAGAUAAAAGGGAAAGGCAAAGUGGUUUUAAAACUCACGAGUAAUUGGUUGCUUAAUGUAUGCCAUGACUAGCACUAGACCGGAUAUAGCUUUUGCGGUAGGAAAGUUGAGUAGAUACACUAGUAAUCCUAGUACUCAUCAUUGGCAAGCUGUAAGGCGGGUGCUCAAGUACUUGAAAGGAACCAUAAAUUAUGGUUUGUCAUAUUUUGGAUUUCCUUCGGUCUUAGAAGGAUAUUCGGAUGCAAGUUGGAACACCAACGAGGAAAAUCAUUCUUCUACAAGUGGUUGGGUGUUUCUACUUGGGGGAGGUGCCAUUUCAUGGGCAUCAAAUAAACAAACUUGUAUUACAAAUUCUACUAUGGAAUCGGAAUUUGUAGCGUUAACGGCUGCAGGGAGAGAGGUGGAAUGGUUAAGACACCUAGUCUCCGAGAUUCCAUUGUGGCCGAAACCAGUGCCACCCAUUUCUAUCCAUUGCGAUAGUCAAGCUACUUUGGCUAAGGCCUAUAGCCAAGUGUAUAAUGGUAAGUCGCGACACCUAGGCUUGAGACAUAGCGGGAUACGUGAGUUGAUCACUCAUGGGGUGAUUACUUUAGAAUUUAUUCGGUCUGAACAUAAUCUAGCGGAUCACUUGACAAAAGGAUUAGCUAGAGACUUGGUGAUCAAGUCGGCUAAAGGGAUGGGAUUAAAGUCCAUUUGAAAUCUCUAAUGGUGGGAUACCCAAUUCCCCUCUAAUACAACGUUAGAGGCUGAAUUCAAUGUGGAAAGCCCACACUUAGAGAUUGAAGCACUGAUUUAUAUCAUCCCAAAGUAAGUGCUUGGAUCUGCAAGAAAAGAUUAGGUUGAAGUUUUAUUCUUAAUAGAUCUUUUGAAAAAUUGCAUUUUGCAGGUGCAAGAUUAAACGAUCUACCUAUAUGGGUGUGAAGUGUAGCCGCUUCAAGAAGCUUGGACUUGGCUUUGUAUACGCUCAUGAAUGGAUAAGGACACAUGGCUUAUAAUAGUGUCAAGGAUAAACACUUAGAGUAGUGAGUGAAUUCGUGUGUGUAUUAUCUUUAUGUGCUCAAAAUGAGUUGAAGGAUUCAAUCCGUAGGACAUCCUGAUUCUCGAGCAUUUGGAAUGUGUAAUAUCACUAAGAUGUAAAUUCAAUCGUUACGAUAUUUACAUUUAUGCAUGAGUUUGGUUUACGUGUUGUUAAUUUUGUGAAUCAAAGAUUACACUUAAAUGGGGGAGGAAUGUUGGAUAUUUAAGUGUACGUACAUCGUCGGUUAUUCACGAAUGUUGGAUAUUUAAGUGUACGUACAUCGACGGUUAGUGUACGUACAUCGACGGUUAUUCACCAACCAUCGCACCUUUUGGUACAAACGGUUAUUAUAUUAAACGUACGGUUGCAAACGUACGUGAAGACCGUUGAUCACUAUAAAACUCUGUUUCUCUUGUGUCAAACAGAGAGAGAAGUACAGAGCACGAGAGUUUCACAAGAUCAAAGAUUGAAAGAAUCUUUGGUGAUAAACACAUAAACAAAACACAUAAUCUCUAUUUGUUUCUCUUGUAUCUUAGCCUAGAACAAGAGAGAACUUUGAUUGUCUUAUCCUACAAGGGAUUUCGUGUAACCCAAGGCUUGAUAAGGGUCGAAAUACUCUUUAAGGAAAGUGCUCACGUGCGCGAUUCAAUCAUUAUCCAAGUUCACAUUCGUUAUUUUCCGGAGUUACAAAGCCUAUUUCUACAACAUCAACUAUGAGCAUUUUCAAAUAAUUUUCCGGAACUCAUGUUCAAUAAGGCCCACAGUUUUUAAAAAUUUCCUUUAACCAGAAAUAAAUUUAAUUAAAGGGAUAACCAUGUUUGUUGGCCCGCCUAGCCUUAACGAAGCAUAUGACUCGCUUAUCUAUAUAAGAUUUGAUCAUUUAAGAUUUUCUUUCGUUCCUCUGUAUAAGAUUUUAUUUCUUGUUUGUUUUGUGGCAUUUCUUCUUGGUUACUUGAACAAAACCCAGAAUUUGUAUUCUUAAUUAAAGUCGGUGUUUAUGUCAAUGAUAAAAGAAUCAUAAAGAUUGUAAGAUAUAGACAAGAUCAGUGAGUUGCCUGAUGAAUUGCUAGUGAAGGUACUAAUGUAUCUCCCUACAAGAUCAGUGAGUUGUAAACACGAAUAUUUUAUGGAAACGAUGAAAGUUUAUUUGGAUUUGGUUGGCUUAUAUCAAGCUUAGUCACGAACAUCGAAAGAAACUUCCAUCCCUUCGAUACAAUACUCGUGCUUACAUCAACUUUUGUUGGGAGAAACAAAAGUUGAUGUAUCUCAACGAGCAAUUCAUCAUGGGAAUUAUCUGAUCUUAUCCAUAUCUUACAAUCUCCAUGAUUAUUUUAUCAUUGACAUACACACUGAGUUGAAAAUUACAAAUUUUGGGUUCUGUUCAAGUAAGUAACCUAGAAGAAAAGUCACAAAACAAGCAAGAAAUAAGACAAGGUAUAAUAAUACAUAGGAAAGAAAGAAAAUAUUGAUAUAUGAAAUCUUAUAUAGAGAGAAUCGAGUUAUACGCUUUCACUAAGGCUUAGAAACAUGUUUAUCCUCUUAAUUUAUUUUCUUUACGGUUAAUAGUAAAGGAAAUUUUUACAAAAAAUGUGGGUCUUACUGAACAUCAUCUCCAAAAAUUUAAUCGAAAAUGCGCAUAAUUAAUACCAUAUUUAUGUUAAUCAUGAAUAAACAUAUCUCCACAAAUCCUUUAUAUUUCAUAUAUUCUAUAAGUCUACUCAAAGUUAAUUAAAGUUUUCAUGUGAAUCAAAUUAAUGUUUCACUCCAUUUCUCCGUUUAAGUAAAACCCAUAAGUACAUCAACUUACCUCAAUUUUUCGACGAAAAAGUAGUACCUAACAACAAAAAUUCCCAAUUUAGAGUCGGAUUUGAUCUCGUUUGCUUCCUACUUGUGAAUUUUGCAGCCUACUCUAUUUUAUCCAUUGAAAUUGCCUCUUUUUUCUCUCUGGAAAACAAUGUAACCUAUUUUCUCUUCUAACCCUAGGUGUACUUAAAUACCCCAUAAAUUUUUUCAAAACGACGUCGUUUUUUUGAGAAGAUCGUAAAUGAUGUCGUGUUCAAUGCGUGUUCGGAAGCAUCAGAAGAGAAUUAAAUUACAUAAAUAGUUUGGGCCCUAUCUUACGUGAUGUACGUACCCACAAACCGGAAUAUUUCUUUGUUCAUUGGCUCAAAGAAAUUGUCCGUUUUAAAUCUUGUUACUCUUAUAAAUGAUUUAAUUCCUUUUGUUUGAAGUGUACCAAAUUAAAUAAAUUACUUCAUUUAAAAGAUUGUCAAUUUUAUACGUAUGUUUGAAUUCAUAAAAGUAAAAACUAAAACCCAAUAAUUUUUGUGGAAGUCCCCUUGGUCUAAAGCAGUGGUUGACCAAGAGUUCAUUAAUAUUACUACACAAGGUCUGGAUUUCAACUCCUAAAGAACGCAGUUUCUUGUAGAGUAAUAGUGCAAAGUUUACCGGACAUCCAAAGUGCCGCGUGUAGAACCAUUCGUAGUGGUCAGAAUAUUACAGGAAGAUCAUGUCGCGGAGAUGUCGUACAUGAAGAACCGACAGCUGAAGAUCCGAGUGCGACGAGGAGAACUGCGCUGUAGAAUCGUUGUUCGUGAGAACUGUUCAUAUAUGAUGGAGCUAGUUAAUUAUUAUCAUAAUAGGAUUAGCUUAAAAUGAUGUAAUAAGACGAGAAAAAAAACACAAUAUUUUUGAAAUCUUUUAAACCAAAUUUUGUGUACGUAUCAUGGUUAAUCUAAAAAUAAAGUACCAUAUGAUUGGUGCCA